rnacentral:rRNA from 1 species
GAUGAACGCUGGCGGCGUGCCUAAUACAUGCAAGUCGAGCGAAUGGAUUAAGAGCUUGCUCUUAUGAAGUUAGCGGCGGACGGGUGAGUAACACGUGGGUAACCUGCCCAUAAGACUGGGAUAACUCCGGGAAACCGGGGCUAAUACCGGAUAACAUUUUGACCGCAUGGUUCGAAAUUGAAAGGCGGCUUCGGCUGUCACUUAUGGAUGGAUCCGCGUCGCAUUAGCUAGUUGGUGAGGUAACGGCUCACCAAGGCAACGAUGCGUAGCCGACCUGAGAGGGUGAUCGGCCACACGGGGACUGAGACACGGCCCAGACUCCUACGGGAGGCAGCAGUAGGGAAUCUUCCGCAAUGGACGAAAGUCUGACGGAGCAACGCCGCGUGAGUGAUGAAGGCUUUCGGGUCGUAAAACUCUGUUGUUAGGGAAGAACAAGUGCUAGUUGAAUAAGCUGGCACCUUGACGGUACCUAACCAGAAAGCCACGGCUAACUACGUGCCAGCCGCCGCGGUAA